rnacentral:rRNA from 1 species
GAUGAACGCUAGCGGGAGGCCUAACACAUGCAAGCCGAGCGGUAUUUCUUCUUCGGGAGAGAGAGAGCGGCGUACGGGUGCGGAACACGUGUGCAACCUGCCUUUAUCUAGAGGAUAGCCUUUCGAAAGGAAGAUUAAUACUCUAUAAUAUAUUAAUUGGCAUUAAUUGAUAUUGAAAACUCCGGUGGAUAGAGAUGGGCACGCGCAAGAUUAACUAGUUGGUGAGGUAACGGCUCACCAAGGCAAUGCUCUUUAGGGGGCGUGAGAGGGUGAUCCCCCACACUGGUACGGAGACACGGACCAGACUCCUACGGGAGGCAGCAGUGAGGAAUAUUGGUCAAUGGGUGCAAGCCUGAACCAGCCAUCCCGCGUGAAGGAUUAAGGUCCUAUGGAUUGUAAACGUCUUUUGUAUAGGGAUAAACCUACCCUCGUGAGGGUAGCUGAAGGUACUAUACGAAUAAGCACCGGCUAACUCCGUGCCAGCCGCCGCCGUAAUAC